rnacentral:rRNA from 1 species
GCAUAUCAAUAAGCGGAGGAAAAGAAACCAACCGGGAUUGCCCUAGUAACGGCGAGUGAAGCGGCAAGAGCUCAAAUUUGAAAGCUGGCCCCCUCGGGGUCCGCAUUGUAAUUUGCAGAGGAUGCUUCGGGAGCGGUCCCCAUCUAAGUGCCCUGGAACGGGCCGUCAUAGAGGGUGAGAAUCCCGUAUGGGAUGGGGUGCCCGCGCCCGUGUGAAGCUCCUUCGACGAGUCGAGUUGUUUGGGAAUGCAGCUCUAAUUGGGUGGUAAAUUUCAUCUAAAGCUAAAUAUUGGCCGGAGACCGAUAGCGCACAAGUAGAGUGAUCGAAAGAUGAAAAGCACUUUGAAAAGAGAGUUAAACAGCACGUGAAAUUGUUGAAAGGGAAGCGCUUGCGAUCAGACUCGCUCGCGGGGUUCAGCCGGCCUUCGGGCCGGUGUACUUCCCCGCGGGCGGGCCAGCGUCGGUUUGGGCGGCCGGUCAAAGGCCCCUGGAAUGUAACGCCUCUCGGGGCGUCUUAUAGCCAGGGGUGCCAUGCGGCCUGCCCGGACCGAGGAACGCGCUUCGGCUCGGACGCUGGCAUAAUGGUCGUAAGCGACCCGUCUUGAAACACGGACCAAGGAGUCUAACAUCUACGCGAGUGUUCGGGUGUCAAACCCGUGCGCGCAGUGAAAGCGAACGGAGGUGGGAACCCCUCGGGGUGCACCAUCGACCGAUCCUGAUGUCUUCGGAUGGAUUUGAGUAAGAGCGUAGCUGUUGGGACCCGAAAGAUGGUGAACUAUGCCUGAAUAGGGCGAAGCCAGAGGAAACUCUGGUGGAGGCUCGCAGCGGUUCUGACGUGCAAAUCGAUCGUCAAAUUUGGGUAUAGGGGCGAAAGACUAAUCGAACCAUCUAGUAGCUGGUUCCUGCCGA